rfam:Glycine soja cultivar W05 scaffold1419_48, whole genome shotgun sequence.
UGAUUUACUGCAUCUUUUUAAUCAAGGAAAUCACGGUUGAGUGUGAAGGAGAGAAAGUGGCUUCAGAUUUCCGGGUUUUCCUUCUCCACUGUGUUUCCUUGGUUAAAGAUAUGUGCUGGAUCA